GACAGAGGGUGCAAGCGUUGUUCGGAAUUAUUGGGCGUAAAGCGCGCGUAGGCGGCUUGGUAAGUCGAAUGUGAAAUCCCGUGGCUUAACCAUGGAAGUGCAUUCGAAACUGCCUCGCUCGAGUGUCGGAGAGGGUGGUGGAAUUCCCAGUGUAGAGGUGAAAUUCGUAGAUAUUGGGAGGAACACCAGUGGCGAAGGCGACCGCCUGGACGACAACUGACGCUGAGGCGCGAGAGCGUGGGGAGCAAACAGG
rnacentral:rRNA from 1 species